rnacentral:rRNA from 1 species
CGGGGCUAAACAUAUUACCGAAACUGUGGAUGAACCUCUUUAGAGGUUCGUGGUAGGAGAGCGUUCUAAGGGCGGUGAAGUCAGACCGGAAGGACUGGUGGAGCGCUUAGAAGUGAGAAUGCCGGUAUGAGUAGCGAAAGAAGGGUGAGAAUCCCUUCCACCGAAUAUCUAAGGUUUCCUGAGGAAGGCUCGUCCGCUCAGGGUUAGUCGGGACCUAAGCCGAGGCCGAUAGGCGUAGGCGAUGGACAACAGGUAGAGAUUCCUGUACCAGUGCUAAUUGUUUAACCGAUGGGGUGACACAGAAGGAUAGGGAAUCGCACGAAUGGAAAUGUGCGUCCAAGCAGUGAGUGUGAGAAGUAGGCAAAUCCGCUUCUCGCGAAGCAUGAGCUGUGAUGGGGAAGGAAAUUAAGUACGGAAGUUCCUGAUUUCACGCUGUCAAGAAAAGCCUCUAGGAAGAGUAGUACUGCCCGUACCGCAAACCGACACAGGUAGAUGAGGAGAGAAUCCUAAGGUGAGCGAGAGAACUCUCGUUAAGGAACUCGGCAAAAUGACCCCGUAACUUCGGGAGAAGGGGUGCUCUAUUAGGGUGCAAGCCCGAGAGAGCCGCAGUGAAUAGGCCCAGGCGACUGUUUAGCAAAAACACAGGUCUCUGCAAAACCGUAAGGUGACGUAUAGGGGCUGACGCCUGCCCGGUGCUGGAAGGUUAAGAGGAGUGCUUAGCUUCGGCGAAGGUACGAAUUGAAGCCCCAGUAAACGGCGGCCGUAACUAUAACGGUCCUAAGGUAGCGAAAUUCCUUGUCGGGUAAGUUCCGACCCGCACGAAAGGCGCAACGAUCUGGGCACUGUCUCAACGAGAGACUCGGUGAAAUUAUAGUACCUGUGAAGAUGCAGGUUACCCGCGACAGGACGGAAAGACCCCGUGGAGCUUUACUGCAACCUGAUAUGGAAUGUUUGUACCGCUUGUACAGGAUAGGUAGGAGCCGAAGAGACGUGUGCGCUAGCAUACGAGGAGGCAAUGGUGGGAUACUACCCUGGCUGUAUGACCAUUCUAACCCGCCACGCUUAGCGCGUGGGGAGACAGUGUCAGGUGGGCAGUUUGACUGGGGCGGUCGCCUCCUAAAGAGUAACGGAGGCGCCCAAAGGUUCCCUCAGAAUGGAUGGAAAUCA